AGAUGGUGAGUGCCAUGGAGGAUGAUGGCUGUGCCUCGAUGGCACUGAAUGUGCCAGUGGCUGCUGUUCUUGCUGUAUCUAUUAUUGUUGGAGGCUGUGUACUACCUCUAUCAAUACCUUUAUUUGCUAUAUUAAAAUAAUAAUUUAUAUGUCUAUAGUGACUACAGGAUGUGAAGAGCUGGGCUCUGCCAUUGGAGGU
rnacentral:lncRNA from 1 species